rnacentral:rRNA from 1 species
CAGUCGCCGCGGGAAUACGUAGGUCCCGAGCGUUGUCCGGAUUUAUUGGGCGUAAAGCGAGCGCAGGCGGUUAGAUAAGUCUGAAGUUAAAGGCUGUGGCUUAACCAUAGUACGCUUUGGAAACUGUUUAACUUGAGUGCAAGAGGGGAGAGUGGAAUUCCAUGUGUAGCGGUGAAAUGCGUAGAUAUAUGGAGGAACACCGGUGGCGAAAGCGGCUCUCUGGCUUGUAACUGACGCUGAGGCUCGAAAGCGUGGGGCGCAAACAGGAUUAGAUACCCCUGUAGUCCCUGUCUCUUAUACA